CGGUGAGAUAAUUUUAACAGCUGCGGUAUUUUAACUGUACUAAGGUAGCAUAAUAAUUUGCCUUAUAAAUUGAGGCUAGAAUGAAAGGUUUGACGAAGGUUUAUCUGUCUCUUUCUUAUUUGUUAGAAUUUAAUUUUUUAGUGAAAAAGCUUAAAUUUUUUAAAGGGACGAGAAGACCCUAUGAGCUUUAAUUUAUAAAUAUUAUAAAUAAAAAAUAUAUAAUAUAGAAAAUUUUAAUUGGGGUGAUUAAGGAAUAAAAGUAAUUAAAAAAUAACUUCCUUAAUAAAAAAAAUUGUUAAAUGAAGUAACCAAUAAAAUAUUGCUUAUAGAAAGUUACCAUAGGGAUAACAGCGUAAUUUAUUUAGAGAGUUCUUAUUAAAAAAUAAGAUUGCGACCUCGAUGUUGGAUUAAAGUAACCUUAAGGUGCAGGAGCUUUAAUAGGUAAAUCUGUUCGAUUUUUAAAACUUUACGUGAUCUGAGUCCAGACCGGA
rnacentral:rRNA from 1 species